GUAGGUGGCAAGCGUUGUCCGGGAAUUAUUGGGGCGUAAAGCGCGCGCAGGCGGUUCUUUAAAGGUCUGAUGUGAAAGCCCACGGGCUCAACCGUGGAGGGUCAUUGGAAACUGGAGAACUUGAGUACAGAAGAGGAAAGCGGAAUUCCACGUGUAGCGGUGAAAUGCGUAGAGAUGUGGAGGAACACCAGUGGCGAAGGCGGCUUUCUGGUCUGUAACUGACGCUGAGGCGCGAAAGCGUGGGGAGCAAACAGGAUUAGAUACCCUGGUAGUCCACGCCGUAAACGAUGAGUGCUAAGUGUUAGGGGGUUUCCGCCCCUUAGUGCUGCAGCUAACGCAUUAAGCACUCCGCCUGGGGAGUACGGCCGCAAAGGCUG
rnacentral:rRNA from 1 species